rnacentral:tRNA from 1 species
GCCGACGUAGCUCAGUGGUAGAGCAACGCUUUCGUAAAGCGUAGGCCGGUGGUUCGAAUCCACUCGUCGGCU